rnacentral:rRNA from 1 species
AUCAUGGCUCGAGGACGAACGCUGGCGGCGUGCUUAACACAUGCAAGUCGAGCGGAAAGGCUCCUUCGGGGGUACUCGAGCGGCGAACGGGUGAGUAACACGUGAGUAAUCUGCCCUUGGCUUUGGGAUAAGCCCCGGAAACGGGGUCUAAUACCGGAUACGACGCACUCUCGCAUGGGAUGUGUGUGGAAAGUUUUUUCGGCCAGGGAUGUGCUCGCGGCCUAUCAGCUUGUUGGUGGGGUAAUGGCCUACCAAGGCUUCGACGGGUAGCCGGCCUGAGAGGGUGACCGGCCACACUGGGACUGAGACACGGCCCAGACUCCUACGGGAGGCAGCAGUGGUGAAUAUUGGACAAUGGGCGGAAGCCUGAUCCAGCAACGCCGCGUGAGGGAUGACGGCCUUCGGGUUGUAAACCUCUUUCAGUACCGACGAAGCGCCGAUGAUGGUGGUGACGGUAGAUACAGAAGAAGCACCGGCCAACUACGUG